rnacentral:rRNA from 1 species
GACGGAGGGGGCUAGCGUUGUUCGGAAUUACUGGGCGUAAAGCGCGCGUAGGCGGCGCAUUAAGUCAGAGGUGAAAGCCCGGGGCUCAACCCCGGAAUUGCCUUUGAGACUGGUGUGCUUGAGACGGAAGAGGUGAGUGGAAUUCCCAGUGUAGAGGUGAAAUUCGUAGAUAUUGGGAAGAACACCAGUGGCGAAGGCGGCUCACUGGUCCGUAACUGACGCUGAGGUGACGAAAGGCGUGGGGAGCAAAACAGGAUUAGAUACCCGCGUAGUCC